UGGGGAAUUUUGGACAAUGGGGGCAACCCUGAUCCAGCCAUGCCGCGUGAGUGAAGAAGGCCUUCGGGUUGUAAAGCUCUUUCGGACGGAACGAAAUGGUUACGGAUAAUACCUGUGACUGAUGACGGUACUGUAAGAAGAAGCACCGGCUAACUACGUGCCAGCAGCCGCGGUAAUACGUAGGGUGCGAGCGUUAAUCGGAAUUACUGGGCGUAAAGCGUGCGCAGGCGGUUGUGUAAGUCAGAUGUGAAAUCCCCGGGCUCAACCUGGGAAUUGCAUUUGAGACUGCACGGCUAGAGUGUGUCAGAGGGGGGUAGAAUUCCACGUGUAGCAGUGAAAUGCGUAGAUAUGUGGAGGAAUACCGAUGGCGAAGGCAGCCCCCUGGGAUAACACUGACGCUCAUGCACGAAAGCGUGGGGAGCAAACAGGAUUAGAUACCCCAGUAGUCCCUGAGCGGGCUGGCAAGGCGCAU
rnacentral:rRNA from 1 species